rnacentral:rRNA from 1 species
AUACGUAGGUGGCGAGCGUUGUCCGGAUUUACUGGGUGUAAAGGGUGCGUAGGCGGAUACUUAAGUCAGAUGUGAAAUACCCGGGCUCAACUUGGGUGCUGCAUUUGAAACUGGAUAUCUAGAGUACAGGAGAGGAAAGCGGAAUUCCUAGUGUAGCGGUGAAAUGCGUAGAGAUUAGGAAGAACACCGGUGGCGAAGGCGGCUUUCUGGACUGUAACUGACGCUGAGGCACGAAAGCGUGGGGAGCAAACAGGAGUAGAUACCCUGGUAGUCCACGACGUAAACUAUGAAUACUAGGUAUGGGGGAGCGAUACCUCCGUGCCGCAGUCAACGCAUUAAGUAUUCCACCUGGGGAGUACGAUCGCAAGAUUAAA